AAGAAAUUUAUAUAAUUUACACUAAUUCAAACACAAGUUCAAUAUUAUCGAAUUCAAGUGAGUAUAUAGAAUUGCUAUAUUUCCACCGCCAUGUGUCACACUUGUAUUGGCCAAGAACAAGCACAUGGAUUGUCCUUCUACCUGUAUGAAUCCUAACCAUCGGUUACUCCCCUUAUUACUGGUACAACACAGUCUAUUAUCUGUACACUCCCAUCUGGAUUUCACACACUUAAAUAUACUCCAUUUUUAUCAUCACUACCACACCUAGCCUAAUUAUUUCCCCCAUGGCUCCCCUCUCCACCAAACAUCUUCACCACUACGCUCCUCCUCCUCUUCUUACUCCCCUCCAUCUCCUGCACUCAGCAAUGACCUGGCUUCCACCGUGUCUCUCAACGAUGACAAUGAAGCUUUAGAUCUUGGCGAGCAGGAGCUUUAGAUCUUGGCGACAAUGGCUUCCUUUCAUCUGUUCAUCUCCGUACGGGCUGCAACCUUGGAGACAUCGCACUCACUGCAACAGCGGCAAGUCGCCCCUCCAACACCUCGCCGUCACUGCUACAUCUCCACCUUCGUUCCUCCGACUAGCCACUACGUCGCUGGUUUCCGAAUCAAACCAACCUCUCAGUUUGGUGUUCCAGUAGAUUUUAGUAUCAUUGACGUUUCUUCGGGGCAAUUGACUGAAUUAAACAACAAUAACAGACCACCUAAUAAACCAAACAAUCAUCGCAUCAGCAAGGCACAUAAAUCCGGUUUUUUUUAAAAAAAAUUUGGUCCGUUAAAUUCGACCGGGUUCGGUCGAAUUUGGAAUUUCGACCGAAUCCGGUCGAACUUAUAAAUUCGACCAAUUUCAGUCGAAUAAAAAUUUGUAGGCGCCAAAUUUAAAAUUUCCAAAAGUUUUUGAAAUUUUCAAAAUUUUGAAUUUCAGUUGAAUUUAUAAUUUCGACCAAUGUUGGUCGAAAUUAACUUCGACCGUUAACGGUCGAAAACAAUUAUUUUCGACCGAAUUUAUAAUUUCGACUAGCUUAUAUUCGACCAUCUCUCUUCUGGUCGAAAUUAGCUAUUUUCGAUCGUUAACGGUCGAAAAUAGCUAAUUUCGACCAUAUUUUGACGGUCGAAAAUAACCGUUUUUCUUGUAGUGGCAGAAAUCUAUAAGGAUUGCCUUUAAAUCCCAGCUCUUUCAAUUGUUUUUCCAUCUUCUUUCACUAGUAGAAAAAUGACUUUCUGCAUCGCCC
rnacentral:lncRNA from 1 species